UACGAAGGGCCCAAGCGUUAUCCGGAUUUAUUGGGCUUAAAGGGUGCGUAGGCGGGUUAUUAAGUCAGUGGUGAAAGCCUUCAGCUUAACUGAAGAAUUGCCAUUGAUACUGAUGAUCUUGAGUAUGAUUGAGGUGGGCGGAAUGUGUCAUGUAGCGGUGAAAUGCUUAGAUAUGACACAGAACACCGAUUGCGAAGGCAGCUCACUAAGUCAUAACUGACGCCGAUGCACGAAAGCGUGGGGAGCAAACAGG
rnacentral:rRNA from 1 species